rnacentral:lncRNA from 1 species
AGGGCAAAGCCACGGUUACGGACAGCAUAUUUCGGGACUGCAGUAAGAGACUCAACUCUGAGCGCCGGCUUCUUGCCAAGAAGAACAAGAAAUUCUUCGACGUCCGGCAUCGCAGCGGACCGCCCACGGAGGACCUGUCAACGCCGAAAGCGGCCCAAGGCACGCCCGAUGGUAGCUGGCCUUUCGAAGUGAACAGCCGAAACAGCUCAAAGGUAGCCAUCCCACCGUCAAGCAUCCCUAACUCCGAUACUCCGAAGGACAGCUUCACCUUCAAGUGCCAGACUUCGGCCAGCUCGGAGGCGUCCCCGAGCAGGGGCGAAGGGGUCGCGAGCAGCUGCCGCUUCAGCACCGCCACACCGGCUCCGCUCAGCAGCUGCGGCAGUGGAGUGCAGAGGCCACGCCGCUUCCUGGCGCGAUCGU